UACGUAGGUGUCGAGCGUUGUCCGGAUUUAUUGGGCGUAAAGAGCUCGUAGGCGGUUUGUCGCGUCGAAUGUGAAAACCCGGGGCUCAACCCCGGGCCUGCAUUCGAUACGGGCAGACUAGAGUUCGGUAGGGGAGUCUGGAAUUCCUGGUGUAGCGGUGAAAUGCGCAGAUAUCAGGAGGAACACCGGUGGCGAAGGCGGGACUCUGGGCCGAUACUGACGCUGAGGAGCGAAAGCGUGGGGAGCAAACAGG
rnacentral:rRNA from 1 species